rnacentral:misc_RNA from 1 species
UGAAUAGGUCUAAAAUGGACAAGUAGCAGCCACAAUAGUGUGGUUAUUCAUAUUCUAAGGCAACAACCACAAUGCCUUUUAAGGCACUAGAAAAUCCUUCGAGCCUUGAAUAAAACUUGUACCCCGCCAACCAUUAACCCAAAAUAGGGCUGGAAUAGGAGAGUAAAUUUAAGAGUUCCUACUAUGCUUGAUCUAGAUCAUCUACACAAUUUAUCAGCCAAAUCAAUCAGGAAUAGAGUAGAGUAAAAAACAUGCGACAGAGAUGACAAAUUUCACUAAGACAGAUGACAUACAAAUGGUUACAUUUACGGCUAUAAUUCCUUAAAUACUUGGGUAAGCCAUGAAAUCAUUCAAGCUCUGAAUUAAACUCCUGUAAUGUACAAGCUUGCUGCAAAAACAAUGUCUCGUUUUAUUGCAUUGGAUGCAGCUUCCAUUUUCUUGUAGAGUGCAGAAUUACCCAUGAUAGCAGCGGCAUUUUUAAACUCUCGACAUGUCUCAUCCAGUCUGACAAUGGUUCGCACUAUCAAGCCUUCAGGAACGUCAGUAAGCUCACAGAUAUCAGCAAAUGGAGUUCCCUUUGCCCACUCAUAAACUACUCUCACAAGACCAAACUUCAGAUUGUCCUGCGCAUACUCUUCAGGUUUUAUCAGUAAUUUAAAGUGGACUUGAAGCUCUCCAAGCCUUAUUGCUGUGUUGUACAGUCUCUUUUUAGCUUCAGACAACUUGGGAGUAAGAGAAGGCUCAGAUGUGUUCCUCUGCUGAAACACAAACGCAGACAUUAUGGCCACAGCUUCUUCAGGUUCCAGGUCAUCAAGCUGAUUCUCAAAUAAACACUCGGUACAUAUCAACUCCUCCCCUGAAUUCAUCUCACAAGCAACACGACCUUUAAUUUGUACGACAAGGUCAGCAUCUAUACAACCAAUUUCCUUCAGAACAUCUAUCCUGCCCUGAAAGUCUGGCAUCUGUUGUAAUGCUUCAUCAGACAUUUGAUAUUUUAACUUAUCAAUUUCAUCUUUAUGCUUCUUUAUCUCUCUUGCCAAGGUUAUGUGCUCCUCCAAUUUUAUACACCCAUGACACUUAUUCAUUGACAUCUUUUGCAGCAGCCUAGUCCAUUUGUUAUAUGCUUCCACAAGAUUCAUAUCUUUCAUCUUCAGAUCUUCCCGUGGAUCUAAGGCUGGAGGGUAUUUUUUUCCUUCAGAUUUCAGUUCCAACAACUCUUGAACUGUCUUCGAGAAAGCUGUAUUACUAAUAUCCUCAAGAAGUCCAGCCGGGUUAAUCUUUAUUUUACUUUUGCAUAUACAUAAGAAUUCUUUACUAUCCAUUGCUCUAACCUCAUAACCAACACCAGCAGCACUGCCUUGGUGUGGUAAUUUUAUGUUGAUAGCACCCGAUCCUUUGCGCGAAGUGGAAGGGUAAAAGUAAUCUUCUACACCACGCUUUGAUUUUGGCAUAAGCAAAUAAGCUUGUGGGCCAUCACCACUCCUUUUAUCUUGCACGUUGGAAAUCUGCAUUGAUGAUGGCAGAUCAGGUUUCAGAACUAAAACUAUGUAUUGCUUCAUAUUCGUAGAAGGCCCCUUCACAACAACUCCAAGCAAGUGGUCUUGUGCUGAUUGCGACUUCACAACUACCACUCUUCCAGGAAAAAGAAGUCGCUGGGCAUCAGAGGACUGCAUGACUGCCUCUGAUAUCUGAUUCCCAUAUUCCUCAGCUUCCAAGUACAUGUCAUAGUAUUCUUCAAUCGCUGGUUCACCUUUUAUGCAUUCAAUAGCUUUGGUAGGCUGAGCAAGCUUUCGCAUCAGAAUUUGUUGUGUUUCAGGAAGUGUCUUUUGAGUAUGGAACUCAGCAAAGCUUCUUUUCAACAUGUCCUCCACCUUCAAUUCCUCCACGCGGAGGAGAUGUAAGAUCAUAAUAUAAGUUAAUCGAAACUGAGAUUCAAGCCUGGUAGCACUUCCAGCAAUAACAUGAUUCAAAUCAUUCUCUUCAGGGAUCUCAUCACGGCACAUCACAACAACUGUACCAAUUUUGUCAAGUCCUCUCCUGCCAGCACGACCUGCCAUUUGAGUAUAUUCUCCCGGAAGCAAUUGUCUAAAUUCCUUACCAUCAAACUUCGUUAAGGUAUCAAAUACAACCGUUCUAGCGGGGGCAUUAACCCCCAUAGCAAAUGUCUCUGUUGAAAACAAUACCUUAAUGACACCACGGCAAAAAAGCAUUUCAACAACUUCCUUAACAAUUGGAAGCAGUCCUGCAUGAUGUACACCAAUCCCUCUACGAAGAAGGCUCUGAACUCUAACAAUCUGUGGUAAAUUUCGGUCAGAUCCUUUCAGUCGUGAAAAUGCUUUAUCACAAAAAACACGGAUCCCACUUUUCUCAGAACUACUAGUGAGAUCAGUUCCAGACAUGCAAUCAGCUGAUUUAUCACACCGAUUCUUUGAGAAACAAAAUAUUACUACAGGUAAUAGAGAUUUCUUUGAGAGCUUGUUAACAAGCUGCAACCAUAGGGAAGCCUCUGACCUCCUUGAACCCCAGUUGUUUUGGCCACUUCCAUUGUUUUGAUUUCCCCCACUAAUCCCAGAGAAGCUUCCAAAAUUUUGUGAACCAGAAUGUUUAUUCUGUUUGCUACGAUUAGAGUAUUCACGUUUCUGACCAUAACCCCCAUCCCACAUUGCUAAUGAUCCUCUACCAACUGUAUUUGUACUAUUUUUCUUGAGUGCAUCUUUAGCAGCUUUCAAUCCCUGAGGUAUAAAAGUUUCAUUCUCACAUAUUUUGUAAAGUUCUCCAGAAAAGAAAAGGCAAUGCUCCAAUGGGACUGGUCUUUUUGCAGUUCCAGUAACUUGGAUUUUCUUUUGUUUCGUCCGACCAAUCCAGUCCGCAAAUUCAACUUUGUUUGGUACCGUGGCUGAAAGCAGGACAAUAUUUACAUGCCUUGGAAGCAUGAUUAUAACUUCUUCCCAAACAACACCUCUUUCAGCAUCAUUGACAUAAUGAACUUCAUCAAAUAUGACCCAUUCAAUAUCUCUUAUAAUAUCAGCACCUCGAUAAAGCAUUGACCUCAAUAUUUCAGUGGUCAUUAUGAGACAAGAAGACUCUGGCCUCAAGCUAAUAUCACCAGUAAGAAGGCCAACAUCAAACUUCCCACAAAAAUCUCGAUACUUUUGGUUGCUGAUAGUUUUAAUCGGAGCAGUAUAGACAGCUCUGGUGCAGUGUUUCGAUGCCAAAGCAAAAGCAUACUCUGCCACUACUGUCUUUCCCGCUGAGGUAUGAGCUGCCACAAAAACAGAAUCUCCCUUUUCCAAAUAAUAUAUUGCCUCCUUUUGGAAUGUAUCCAAUUCAAAAGGAAAAUUAAGUGCCAUGUCAGGAACUAGUUCGUAGAAGUGUUCUGCAAUCCAUUCACUACUGCCACUAAGAGCCCAUGCCUCUUUCUGCUGGCGGCCACCAGCAUCAACACUUCCAUCAGAUUUUGAUGCCAAUCCACCUGAUUCAGCAGACAAAAUCUCAUCCAACACAGACAAUGCAGUCUCAGAAACACUUUCGAACACAUCAAUCUUGCCCACUUCAUCAUCUGACUUUGGAGAAUCCUCUUUUGACAAAUGACCAUCUCCUUCAUAUUCUGUAAUAAUAUCCUCCUCCCAGGCCUUUUUGAACAAGUCAUCGAACUGUACAGACAACUCAUUCAACUUUUCCUUUGAUGUGGUAUUGAAUGGACUUUGGUCCUUGUAAACAUUCCACGAGCAUGGAUAUGCCUUAAGCUCACCAAGGUCUAAUCCUUGCUUGAGGCUCGGGGCAGUGGACUGAGCUGGACCACCAUUUAGCAGCUCAUGCACCCAUUCGCCAUUAGUAGCACCAGAUGGAAGAAUUCUCUCUAAAGAUUGAGAAUCAUCCAAACCUCCUGGGCGAAAAGGGCGUUUGUUGAUGCUUCCUCUCACAAAGUCCUUUGCAGGUCCAGCAACUCGUGGCAAGGGACUAGAAUCUGGAGCUCCAACAGUUAAUUCUGACAUAUCCACCUGUACUGAAUUUGGUUCCCACCGUCCUUGUUCAGAUCCCGACUUUUGUCUUCUGAAUGGUAACUCCCAAGUAGGAACUACAACAGACCGUGGCAAGGAAGGCUCCUGUAUUACUUUUACCCUCUCAAACCAAUCAAAAUCCCACUGCCUUCCAGCUUUUUCUGCUGAAAACUCAUCAGAGUCUAAUCUUGGCAAGAGAUAUUCCUCUUCUAAAUGCUCCUUUAGCGAUUCAUGAUUCUCCCUAGGAAAGGCAGGGGGAAGAAUAAAAUCAGGGAGCGACUUCACGGGGUUAGUGCGCUCUACGGUGGAGAGAGGCUCGACCCUGAGGUGGCCACUGUAGCCGGAGAACCCGACCCGGAAAGCAAGCUCGUUUGUUGCUUGGAUUCGAUCCAUCGGUUUUUGGCUCUGAUUUUGAUUCGAAGAUAUCAUGGAUUUUCGCGGGCUACGAUAGGGUGCUUGACUGCAUUUUGUGCCUGGUGCCGUUU